UGCUGCAGCCCACCCCUUCCCAUCCUUCAAAACCCAGACAAAGGCUAAAGCAACUCCUCCCGCGCCCCUCCUUUUCUCUCCACCCACACAAACACGUACACACGCAUGUGCCAUCUACCCCAAACCCUUGCUCUGAAGUCACAGGCCUGACUUCCAGACUAGGCUCUGCCCCUAAGGAAAUCACCUUUCUGGUCUUAGUCUCCCCAUCUGAAAAUGGCAUAACCAACCUACCUGCCUCAAAUACAAGACCCUGCUUGUGAAGCGUCUCCUGGCUCAGACCAGUGCUAGAAGUGUCCAGUCUAGCAGCUCCUGGACCAAGACUCCGUGGCCAUUCCCUUCCUCCUGCCUUCCAUCCACCCCCUUACGAUACAGAAGUUGAGAUACAGAGAGGUGAAGGAACUUGUCCCAGGCCCUACAGCUAGUCCUGAGUUCUUGACCAGCAUCCGUGAAGAAUGAGGUUACACAGACAACUGGAAGGUGAGCAAGGCAGAGAACAGCUUUAUCGGCUGACCAAACAGCUCUCAGAGGAGAGGAGACCCAAAGUGGGUAGCUCCUAUCUGCAGGCAGGUAGUCCCAACGAGUCCAUGAAUCUGGCCGGGUCAGGAAAAAGCACCAUCUGAUUGGCCAAAAGGCAUCAAGGAAGUUCUCACUUUAGGUAGUGGACUCCACACAGAACUGGAGGCCUGGCUGUCAGGCUUCAGGUCAUCCCUGGCUUGAAGGUGGGGUUUCACCAAGGACCCACCCCUUCCCACCUAGGAACCUGUCUGCCUCCUGCCACCAUUAGUUUACCUAUGUGACCCGCAGGAUAUGCCAGAAAUGAUGGUAUGUCACUUCUAAAAUUCAAAUUAAAAAAAAAAAGACUACAGCUUCUGUC
rnacentral:lncRNA from 1 species